CCAGCACCCGCGGUAAUUCCAGCUCCAAUAGCGUAUAUUAAAGUUGUUGCAGUUAAAAAGCUCGUAGUUGGAUUUGUGGUGGGCGUCAGUGGUCCAGAGUUUUUUUGGUACCAAUUGACGUCUGCCAUCCUUGGGGAGAAUCUGUGUGGCAUUAGGUUGUCGUGCAGGGGAUGCCCAUCGUUUACUGUGAAAAAAUUAGAGUGUUCAAAGCAGGCUUAUGCCGUUGAAUAUAUUAGCAUGGAAUAAUGAGAUAGGACCUUGGUACUAUUUUGUUGGUUUGCGCACCGAGGUAAUGAUUAAUAGGGACAGUUGGGGGUAUUCGUAUUCCAUUGUCAGAGGUGAAAUUCUUGGAUUUCUGGAAGACGAACUACUGCGAAAGCAUUUACCAAGGAUGUUUUCAUUAAUCAAGAACGAAAGU
rnacentral:rRNA from 1 species